CCCUUAGAUGUUCUGGGCCGCACGCGCGCUACACUGAUGCAUUCAACGAGUCUAAAACCUGCUCUGAUAGGGGUGGGUAAUCUUUUGAAUGUGCAUCGUGAUUGGGAUAGAUGAUUGCAAUUUUUCAUCUUCAACGAGGAAUGCCUAGUAAACGCAAGUCAUCAGCUUGCAUUGAUUACGUCCCUGCCCUUUGUACACACCGCCCGUCGCACCUACCGAUUGAAUGGUCCGGUGAAGCCUCCGGAUUGGCGCGCACCUCGGUGCCGCCGAGAAGUUGGCUAAACCUUACCAUUUAGAGGAAGGUGAAGUCGUAACA
rnacentral:rRNA from 1 species